UUGAAAGCCUGCCAAUCCUCUGGCUGGUGCUCAGAGGCCUUGUCCUGCUGUCCGAGAGACCUGAGACGGCAAUAGGAAUACGGGACCUGCUGCCAGACGUCAUGGAGACCUUGAGGUUUGCCAACACGUCCAUUGCUCUCAAGGCGAGCAAGAUCUCCAGAAAUGUGAUGACUCAUGUGGGGAAGAGAGAGGCCCGUCCCAUUGUUGUGGAGCUGGCUGAGAAGCUCCUGCCUCUUUUCAGUCAUGUAAGUCAGCUGCUAGAGGCUGA
rnacentral:lncRNA from 1 species